rnacentral:misc_RNA from 1 species
CAACUAAGGCUCCAUUCUGGCCUGCUGGAAUUGAUGGUAAUCGUCCACCUGCCAAGAUACCUGUUCAACUGCCAUUGAAUCACUUGAUGAACAAUGAUGAGUCAAUGGGUCGGCCACUACAGUUAAGUGAGCAGGGACAAAUUCUUGAGGUGUGUAUUGAGGCAGCAGCAAAUGCAGUUAUCGAUCUUAGGGACAGUUUAAAUGAAUGGGAUAGCAAAGUAGGUGAUGGUGACUGUGGAUCAACGAUGUAUAGGGGUGCAACAGCAAUUCUAGAGGACAUGAA